rnacentral:piRNA from 1 species
UGUUUCAACUGAAAAACGCAA